UACGUAGGGUCCAAGCGUUAAUCGGAAUUACUGGGCGUAAAGCGUGCGCAGGCGGUUUUGUAAGCCAGAUGUGAAAUCCCCGGGCUUAACCUGGGAAUGGCAUUUGGGACUGCAAGGCUCGAGUGCGGCAGAGGAGACUGGAAUUCCCGGUGUAGCGGUGAAAUGCGCAGAUAUCGGGAGGAACACCAGUGGCGAAGGCGGCACUCUGGGCCGGUACUGACGCUGAGGAGCGAAAGCGUGGGGAGCGAACAGG
rnacentral:rRNA from 1 species